CCUACGGGUGGCAGCAGUGAGGAAUAUUGGUCAAUGGACGAGAGUCUGAACCAGCCAAGUAGCGUGAAGGAUGACUGCCCUAUGGGUUGUAAACUUCUUUUAUAUGGGAAUAAAACAGGGUAUGCAUACCCUCUUGUAUGUACCAUAUGAAUAAGGAUCGGCUAACUCCGUGCAAGCAGCCGCGGUAAUACGGAGGAGCCGAGCGUUAUCCGGAUUUAUUGGGUUUAAAGGGAGCGUAGGUGGAUUGUUAAGUCAGUUGUGAAAGUUUGCGGCUCAACCGUAAAAUUGCAGUUGAAACUGGCAGUCUUGAGUACAGUAGAGGUGGGCGGAAUUCGUGGUGUAGCGGUGAAAUGCUUAGAUAUCACGAAGAACUCCGAUUGCGAAGGCAGCUCACUAGACUGCAACUGACACUGAUGCUCGAAAGUGUGGGUAUCAAACAGGAUUAGAUACCCUGGUAGUC
rnacentral:rRNA from 1 species